rnacentral:misc_RNA from 1 species
AAAACAGGAAUCAUCAUGGCGGACACCUCACCGACUCUCACUGUAGGAGGAGACAGAACGACGGGACAGUCUGUGAGGACACAAAAUGUUCUUGCAGCUAGUUCCAUUGCAAACAUUGUCAAAAGCAGUCUUGGACCAGUUGGUCUCGAUAAAAUGUUGGUCGAUGACAUUGGAGAUGUAACAAUCACCAAUGAUGGCGCAACAAUCCUAAAGCUUUUGGAAGUUGAACACCCAGCAGCAAAGGUCCUUGUAGAACUAGCAGAACUUCAGGACCAAGAAGUCGGCGAUGGAACCACAUCUGUUGUGAUCAUUGCUGCUGAACUUCUAAAGAAUGCAGAUGAGUUGGUGAAAUGUAGGAUCCACCCCACCUCCAUUAUUAGUGGAUACAGACUGGCAUGCAAGGAAGCUUGCAAAUACAUUCAAGAGCAUUUGACCAUCAAUGUUGAGGAAUUAGGAAAGGAAUGCAUCAUAAACGCUGCCAAGACGAGCAUGUCUAGUAAAAUCAUAGGAUCUGAAUCCGAUUUCUUUUCUAAUAUGGUUGUGGAAGCUGCCAAUGCAAUCAAGACCUCUGAUGGUAAAGGAGGUUACAAGUAUCCAAUCAAAGCCAUCAAUGUUCUAAAGGCUCAUGGGAAAAGUUCUAAAGAAAGCACCAUGGUUCAUGGAUAUGCCCUCAACUGUACUGUAGCCUCUCAAGCUAUGACCAAAAAAGUAGUAGGGGCAAAGAUAGCUUGCUUAGACUUUAGUUUACAGAAGACAAAGAUGAAAAUGGGUGUUCAAGUUUUAAUAGAUAGUCCUGAACAAUUAGAUGGUGUACGACAAAGGUAAAAAAUAUAUACUGACAUUCAGAAAGCUCACAUGUACGGUAUAUGUAACUUAAUGGGAGAAUUUUUUUUAAAAAAUCUACAUCAAAAGAUAAUGUCUCAAUAACUUUUUCUUCCAGAGAGUAUGAUAUUACAAAGGAAAGGAUAGAAAAGAUUUUAGGAGCUGGAGCUAAUGUAAUUCUGACCACCGGAGGAAUUGAUGACUUGUGUCUGAAGUAUUUUGUGGAGGCCGGGGCCCUCGCUGUCAGGCGCUGUAAGAAGGUGGAUCUCAAGAGGAUCGCCAAAGCUACAGGAGGUCAGUUAGUAAUGACCUUGGCUAAUCUGGAAGGAGAGGAGUCUUUUGAUGCCUCCAUGUUAGGAAGUGCAGAGGAAGUUGUUCAAGAACGUAUUUGUGAUGAUGAACUCAUUCUUGUGAAAGGACCAAAGGCUAGAACAGCGGCUUCUAUUAUACUGAGAGGAGCUAAUGACUUUAUGUGUGACGAGAUGGAGCGCUCUGUCCAUGAUGCCCUGUGUGUUGUGAAGAGAGUCCUCGAGUCCAAGUCUGUUGUCCCUGGGGGUGGAGCAGUAGAGGCAGCCCUGUCGAUUUACCUAGAAAACUUUGCCACCUCUUUGGGUUCAAGGGAACAGCUAGCUAUUGCUGAAUUUGCAAGAUCUCUGUUAGUAAUCCCUAAACAGCUAGGAAUAAAUGCAGCCCAGGAUGCUACAGACCUUGUUGCCAAAUUAAGGGCCUACCAUAACAUGUCUCAAACCAAGCAAGAGCACAAGGACCUUAGAUGGGUUGGCCUGGACCUGUAUCAAGGCACAGUAAGAGACAACAAAAAGGCAGGAGUAUUGGAGCCCGCAAUGUCCAAAAUCAAGUCCCUCAAGUUUGCCACCGAGGCUGCCAUCACCAUUCUGAGAAUUGAUGACAUGAUCAAGCUUGUGGACCAGGAAAGGGGGCGGGGCAAAACCUACCAGGACGCUCUCAAUGCCGGCGAGCUGUAAAUCCAUGAACAAACCUUAUCUGUAUAUAAAUCCAUGAACUGAUGAACAAUAGAAAAUCUAUACCCUUCAUUUUGCUAUGAUUGUGCUUGAUAAUGAAAAUAAAGUAACUUAUUCCU